rnacentral:rRNA from 1 species
UACAGAGGGUGCGAGCGUUGUCCGGAAUCACUGGGCGUAAAGGGCGCGUAGGUGGCGACCCAAGUCCAUGGUGAAAGCUCGAUGCUCAACAUCGAGUCGGCCACGGAUACUGGGUUGCUGGAGCACUGUAGAGGCAGAUGGAAUUCCGGGUGCAGCGGUGGAAUGCGUAGAGAUCCGGAAGAACACCGGUGGCGAAGGCGGCCUGCUGGGCAGUUGCUGACACUGAGGCGCGACAGCGUGGGGAGCAAACAGG